rnacentral:rRNA from 1 species
CAUUUCUAGCUUGCUAGAAGAUGACGAGCGGCGGACGGGUGAGUAAUACUUGGGGAUCUGCCUGAUGGCGGGGGACAACCACUGGAAAUGGUGGCUAAUACCGCAUAAUGCCUACGGGCCAAAGUGUGGGACCUUCGGGCCACAUGCCAUCAGAUGAACCCAAGCGAGAUUAGCUAGUUGGUGAGGUAAUGGCUCACCAAGGCGACGAUCUCUAGCUGUUCUGAGAGGAUGAUCAGCCACACUGGGACUGAGACACGGCCCAGACUCCUACGGGAGGCAGCAGUGGGGAAUAUUGGACAAUGGGCGCAAGCCUGAUCCAGCCAUGCCGCGUGUGUGAAGAAGGCCUUCGGGUUGUAAAGCACUUUCAGUGGUGAGGAAGGCCUUGUAGUUAAUAGCUGCAAGGAUUGACGUUAGCCACAGAAGAAGCACCGGCUAACUCCGUGCCAGCAGCCGCGGUAAUACGGAGGGUGCGAGCGUUAAUCGGAAUUACUGGGCGUAAAGCGCACGUAGGCGGUUUGUUAAGCAAGAUGUGAAAGCCCAGGGCUCAACCUUGGAAUAGCAUUUUGAACUGGCAAGCUAGAGUUUUGAAGAGGGUGGUAGAAUUUCCAGUGUAGCGGUGAAAUGCGUAGAUAUUGGAAGGAAUACCAGUGGCGAAGGCGGCCACCUGGUCAAAAACUGACGCUGAGGAGCGAAAGCGUGGGGAGCAAACAGGAUUAGAUACCCUGGUAGUCCACGCCGUAAACGAUGUCAACUAGUUGUUCGUGUCUUUAAGACGUGAGUAACGCAGCUAACGCACUAAGUUGACCGCCUGGGGAGUACGGCCGCAAGGUUAAAACUCAAAUGAAUUGACGGGGGCCCGCACAAGCGGUGGAGCAUGUGGUUUAAUUCGAUGCAACGCGAAGAACCUUACCAUCCCUUGACAUCCA